GUUUUCUGCAGAGUUGUGCCGGGUCGCCUCCCUCGCGCAAUGGAUUAUCCAUCUAGCGGAGCCAGCCUAAGCGUUGGGCACAUUUCCCUGAGGAUACAGGGGACCCAGAGAAGAGGCGGUUAGAAGGACCAGUGGGGAGUAAUUAAGUUUAGCUGAGGGUAUGGGGCGGUCUUCUCUACGUCUGGGCGGUCC
rnacentral:lncRNA from 1 species